rnacentral:rRNA from 1 species
GACGAACGCUGGCGGCGUGCUUAACACAUGCAAGUCGAACGGACAGGCCCUGCUCUUGUGGGGUGCUCGAGUGGCGAACGGGUGAGUAACACGUGAGUAACCUGCCCUUGUCUUUGGGAUAACUCCUGGAAACUGGGGCUAAUACCCGAUAGGAUCUCCUGCUGCACGUGGUUGGUUGGAGAAUUUCGGCGGUUGUGGCUGGACUCGCGGCUUAUCCGCUUGUUGGUGGGGUAGUGGCUGACCAAGGCUUUGACGGGUAGCCGGCCUGAGAGGGGGACCGGCGACAAUGGGCCUGAGAGACGGCCCAGAAUCCUACGGGAGGCAGCAGUGGGGAAUAUUGCACAAUGGGCGGAAGCCUGAUGCAGAAACGCCGCGUGCGGGAUGACGGCCUUCGGGUUGUAAACCGCUUUCGCCUGUGACGAAGCGUGAGUGACGGUAAUGAGUAAAGAAGCACCGGCUAACUACGUG